UACGUAGGGGGCGAGCGUUGUCCGGAUUUACUGGGCGUAAAGGGCACGCAGGCGGUCCUGUCAGUUUCUAGUGACAGGUCAGAGCUUAACUCUGACAGGCCUAGAAAGACGGCAGGACUUGAGUACUUCAGAGGGACGCGGAAUUCCUGGUGUAGCGGUGAAAUGCGCAGAUAUCAGGAGGAACACCAAUUGCGAAGGCAGCUCGCUGGGACGUUACUGACGCUGAGACGCGAAAGCGUGGGGAGCAAACAGG
rnacentral:rRNA from 1 species